GCAGUGCUGUCUGUGGCUCUUUCUACCCAGUCUUUCCUUCUACAGAUGCCAGACCCACACCGAGGAGUGAUAGCAAUGCCUGAGGCACUGAGCUGUUGUCAGGACACAAUGUAACCUGCUCAGAACAUGCGGGGAGCACAGCCUAAGUGGAAGAGCUGGGACAGUCACCACCGACCACAUCCACUCAUGGAAGUUUUAGCCAAAGGAGGUAUUUCUCUUACACUGUAAGCCAAUUUCAGCCAGGCCACCAAAAUUGCCUCCCUCAGAAGCAAAUAUCUGCAGAAGAUCCAAGAAAAUUUGCUCGAGGGUUCGCUCCCACCUUUGCUCCGAGACACUGGCUCCACUGCUGAAUGAACAAAUUGUGCAGCUCAGCCUACGUUAGGCUGUAUGCUCACAUCUCCUCCUCCGGAUCUUGGUUCCCCGGCAGAUGAGUGCAACUAGGCCCUGGGGUCCUUCCCAGCUGCAGAAUUCUAGGAUAAGGAUGGAGCACUGGCCUCUGUCUGUGGCCUCAGAGGCAGCCAGCUGCCUCUCCACCCACUCUGUUGUGUCCUGGGUGUGUGAAGGGGCUGCGCUUAGCUGCGUUUUCUUUUGUCUGGAGAUGACAGUCCACAGACCAGGAAGGAAGGGUGGGAAUGACGGUUUGCAGAGGGAAGGCGAGGGGAGCUAUUUCCACCUACUUUGGCCUGACUGCCCCAUGCUGCACAUCUCCUGGGAUUUCCAUAGCCGAAGUAUCUCCCACUUACCACCUGGGCCAGCUCCCUGUCUUCCAAGCUUCCAUUUCUACAGCCUCAGUUACUGGAGGCUUUUGUCUACCCAAGCCUGGGGAACUACUAUUCAUGAAAAUUGCAGUAUUCAUUGUUUUUGAAGAUGUCUAAGUCCCAGAAAACAUAAGAAGGUUCGAGAUGGCUUUUAAUAUGAAGGAGAGCAGUCUUCAUUUUUUUUCUGGUGAAAGGAACACUUUUUAAUGAAAACUCAAAUUAAUGUUAAAUGACAAAUGUCAUAGAGCCAGCCACGAGUCUUUCUAACUUUGUUGUGGCCAUAAAUGAUAGACAUGUGCAAUCAAGUCCCCAGGUCAACAGAGGGACACAUCGCUGGCAGAACCACCCUCAGCAGGUGGUUCUGUAAGAUCACCGUCCUGACCCCCAGGAGCACACUCACCCAUGGGGUCAGGCUGCUAUUAGAAAUUCCUUCCAGAGAUGACAGGUGAGAGGGAGGCAGGCAGACAGACAUCUGUGGGGGUCACAUUCACCCCAGACAGUUCAUUGCCGGAAGGAAGCCACAUGCCUCACGUCCAAGCUCAUCUGAUUGGAGUCAGGCACAGCCAGAUACAGUCAUGAUUGUGUCCAGAGGCCCACGGGGGCUGGCGGGGCCCUUCACGACAGCUGCUACGGCACAGCCCAUCUGGAAGGGCUCUUUUUGUUCAACGCUUUAACCCUCUGAGGACCCUCGGGACCAAGGGAUGCCACACCCUGGCCUGGACCCUCUCUCCACCUGGAGCCCCUCUCCUUCCUGCCUCCCUCUGAUUCACGCCCAGUGGGCAGGAGUCCUAAUCCCUCUCCUCUUCCCUGAACACGGUAACAGUGGGUGUGCUCCUGAGGGUGACGUGAGGGCAACAAGACUGACUGACCUUCCUCGUCCACCU
rnacentral:lncRNA from 1 species